AACUGGUUGCUAAACAGAGAAACUUGACCCACCUAUACCGCAGGAAUGUUCUGCAGUGUUUUUUUCUAUAGAUUCUUGGCAUUAAAAAAGAACAUAUUUUUGUCGGUUAACGCUACCACACAAAGUUUUUUUUUUUUUUUAAAUUCCUUUGCAUUAUAUUUAAUGGCAGAGGGAAUUCAUAGCAGAGAGAACACGACUGAAUUUACUUGUAUUGUUUGAGAAUUAGUGCCAGACCUGGGAAAACAACAUUCCCAAACAACAUUCCCAGACCAGUGAGGGAAUAUGCAACUGGUUUUCCCAAAGCAUAGUUUCAGUUCAUGUGUUUGUUAGUUGUUGUUGAAAAUAUUUGAGAUACAUAAAUUGUUCUAAUCUAAAAUUUCACUUGCAUGUGUUAAUUUACAUCAGAGGUCUGCAGAGAAUGAAAGUACCAGUUUUAGAUUAGCAUGUCACUAACUGCAUAAGCGGCUAAAAUCUGACUGGACGAUUUCAAUAUGCCGCACAGAAGCAUAUGCUAAUUAAUGUCACAAUAUCAGUAAAAACAUUGACCUUUACUGUACUUAUACAUCCCCAAUAUCACUUUCACAUUUUGAAAAAAAGAAGAGAAAAAACCUUUGGUCAACAUAAAAAUUAAGUGGCAGGAUAAAAUAGAUAAAUAAAUAAAUACAAUGAACACCUGCAGAUUUGCAGAAAAUGGUAAGUUCACUUGGCUUUCAUUUCAUUAGAUGUGCUCAGGGAAUUUCAAUUAAACAGACUGAAUAUUAGGAUGAGCGUACUGUAUUCCAAGCCAGUGUUUUUCCUUAAUAGCAGCGAAUAUGACACCAGAAAGAUUAAAGAUCGGAGAAGACAGUCAGGACUGAAGAGGCAAACGAUCAGCGUGAUCCAGGCUAAGUAUCACAAUGACUGUCCCUCAUGCACCAUAAGAGAAGUGACAAGUUUUUCUGGCCGAAAAUUCAGAUUUAAAUCAAUAUUUACCCAAAAUAUCAGCCUGAGCAUCCAAAAAGGCAUUACAGUAAGUCUAAUGGACAAAGUGACGUGUGAUUAGACAGUUCACCAGAACGGACUAGGCAGUAAGUUCACAUGUUUCUAUGUAGCAUUAUUUUCACCACCUAAAAUAUACAGGCUUACAAUUGCAACUGUUAAAAUGAAACACUGAAAUGAGACAAUCAGCAUUGACUGGAAUGUGUUUAAUCAAUCAAUCAAUCAAUCAAGUAAUCAAUAAAUCAAUCAAUCAGUCAAUCAAAUUUUAUUUAUAUAGCACCUUUCAGACAAGUAAAUGCAGUUCAAAGUGCUUCCCAUAGAAAAAACGGUUGACCUGGCCACAGCUGACGGAGGUCACCUGGAGUAGACGCCUGUGCCUUGCGCAAAGAGAACGUAGUGACAUCAUCAAGGUCAUGUGAGGUCAAGCCGGAAGAGAGGCAAACCACAGGGACAGUGCUCGUUAAACCGUUUCUUAAUGGUAGCUUUUCCCUUUCCACGUUUUCUCGCGUCUAUUCAAAUUCUUUAAAAAAAAAAAGAAGCAACCUGGCCUCGUUCGACCGGCGAACACAAGAACAUACCGUCGUCGCUGCGCAUACCGGCACCAUGAAGUCCCUCUCACUGACUCACCUGUGUGGAUGAAAUAAUGGGACUGGAUCACCUGUGGAGUUGUCAUGGUUACAGCAGCAAGAGCAUCAGUCGCUGCUGGAUGACCAGCGUUGCGGUGCAUUGUGGGAAAGCUACCCAUAAAGGACGUUUAACUGUGGCUCCGGCAGUGAGAGCAGUGAUCUCAGAUUGAUGGAACCAGAUAAGAACACUCAUCUCUGGUAAUCUAAGACUUUUAUUAUGCCGCUGAUGGCCUGUUGUUUCACACGUGUGAUGUCACUGCUUCAUUUGAUUGCACAGCUGCUCAGUCUUGACCCAUAUUUAACUGCAGCCCUGUUGCAUUGUGGGUGUGUUUGCGCUCCUAGCUCGUGCCAUCUGAAGAAAGGACAUGUCUGAUCAAUUUACUGUCAAAGUAAACCCGAUAAUUCAGUCGUUUAGUGUUCGCUUCAACUGGGGGGAAAAACAUCAAUGAUUGGUUAUGAUAUGGUUUCAUUUUAAAAAACAGAAGAACUGCUGUGACUUUUAUUGUCUGUUUUUUUUUUUUAUGCAUUUGGGCCUUAGCGUGUUUCAUUGCCCUUGUAGCAUGUAAAUUGAGCGCUCCAAAAACAUAACUGAGUCAUGCUGAAAGAAAAUAAUAAAAAAUAAUACGCCUGUAAAUUCAACAUUUUCAGGAUAAAACAAAAAGAUGUCAAAAAGAUUAAUCAUUAAAAUCUUUUAAACCUGCAGUUUCUGCAUUAAAACCUACAUUUAAAAAACAGUUUCUGCUCAGUAAAAUGCUCCGUGAGCAUUUAAAAUAGUUUAACUCUUUUGUUUGCUUCAGUCAAAGAGAGACGAAGUGUCCUCCAUCGCAGCAGAAGGCACUCUGUAAGCAUUCGUUUGGCGUAACUUUCACCGUGCGCACGGCAGCUA